rnacentral:rRNA from 1 species
GAUGAACGCUGGCGGCGUGCUUAACACAUGCAAGUCGAACGAAGACAUCUGAGUGCUUGCACUUGGAUGGACUGAGUGGCGGACGGGUGAGUAACGCGUGGGUAACCUGCCUUAUACAGGGGGAUAACAGUUGGAAACGACUGCUAAUACCGCAUAAGCGCACGGUAUCGCAUGAUACAGUGUGAAAAACUCCGGUGGUAUAAGAUGGACCCGCGUCUGAUUAGCUUGUUGGUGAGGUAACGGCCCACCAAGGCGACGAUCAGUAGCCGGCCUGAGAGGGUGAACGGCCACAUUGGGACUGAGACACGGCCCAAAA